GAUGAAGAACGUAGCGAAAUGCGAUACGUAAUGUGAAUUGCAGAUUUCAGUGAAUCAUCUAAUCUUUGAACGCACAUUGCGCCCGCCAGUAUUCUGGCGGGCAUGCCUGUUCGAGCGUCAUUUCAACCAUCAAGCGCCUCGCUUGUGUUGGGGCCCUGCGGCUGCCGCAGGCCCCUAAAUCCAGUGGCGGGCUCGUCGUCGUACCGAGUGCAGUAAACAUCCUCGCUCAGGGAACCCGACGGGUGCCGGCCGUGAAACCCCCCCUCCUCAAGGUUGACCUCGGAUCAGGUAGGAAUACCCGCUGAACUUAAGCAUAUCAAUAAGCGGAGGA
rnacentral:misc_RNA from 1 species